rnacentral:lncRNA from 1 species
AAGCUGAUGCCAAAACCCAGCUAGCUUCUAAACUGCAACAUCGCCGCCACCUAUCCCCUCACCCACUCAUAAUUCUCACGUUUUCCUUUCCCUACACACUACCCCCUCCAGACGUCUCCCUCUCACAUUUCCCACUCCUUCUUUUCUCUCUCACCUCACGUUUCCCUCACUCUGCAUGCCACCUAUCACCAUUAAAUGACACAACCCACUCAUAUAUGCCUCCUCUCUCCACCACCUCUCUGCUGCGAAAAAAGAAAACAAAAAAAAAGAAAUUAAAAAGAUUAUUGUUUCCUUUUCUUCAUUUCCCAUCUCCACCACACCUUCCGCUCUUCACCUUGUAAAACCCUCCCAAUUUCAUCUCCAACCUUUGACCUUCCAACUUACAGAUC